UCUCGUUCGCACGAUCUAUCCCACGCUGUAAUUUUACAGCGCUGUCAAAGGCUGAGCCAUCCAUCCUUCUUUACAUAUAUGUUUCACUUCUAUGUGCAUGACUGGUGGACCCUGUUUAGUGGGGCAUCAGCAAAAUCGUGUGGGUUUUCUUUGGUUGUUAGUAGCCAAAGUAUUCACUGGGUCAGUGAAAACCUAAAACGAGCGAGCGACUCCCUCCCCUCUCUCUCGUUUCUAUUUUCUCCCUCGUGCUCGCGCCGCCACCGUCGCCUCAUCGCCCAGCCCAGCGCCGAUGCCAUCGCCGCUUCCACUCCGAGCGCCGGCGCCGCCACCUCCUCUCCCAGUGCCGCCACCGCCAUAGCCCCUUCCCAAGGGGGUCGGGGUGAGCACGGUCGUCCCCAUCGAUGGUCCUCUGCCCCUCCAAGUCCGCUCACCUCGGCCUCCUCCUAUGUCGUCGGUGGCGCAGCAGAGGUGGUCGAGCCGUUGAGGUGAGAAGCGGUGGGCAGCUGUACGGUGUCCUCUUCUCUCCGUGCUUUCCCGCAUCGCCUCACCAGCCACCACCAACAGCAUGGUAGGGAUCUACGGCGGGCAAGACCAAAGAGAUGCAGCCGACCGCCAAGGGGGUGGGGCCCAAGGACAGGCCUGAGCUAGCGGUGGCAACGAUGAUGAAGGAGGCGGAGGUGCAGGCGAAAGAGGAGGACGGAGGUGUGGUGGACUAGGACGCCAUGGCCGCCAUUGCCACAAUGUCUGCAUCUUCAUCCACUGCCUCUCUGCCAUGUACCUGCCUCCUGUCAUGCAUCUCCUUGUUAAUUAGGGUGACUGUUUCUUUUUGGGUAAUCUGGGUGACUAAUUUGAUUCUUGUGUUAAAUGUUUGGGAGUUUCUUGGAGAGAGAAAAUUGUGGUAGUUAAUUUAUUGGCAACAGUUAGCAUUGUUGGAGAUUAGUUUCUUAACUUAAGGUUACAAUCCAUUAAGUUUGCAUUUUUGGUCUUUCCUUUUUAUUGCACAUCACAUUUUUAUAUAUGUGUGCCAUGGUUAAAAUUUGCUAAUAUUAUUUCACAGAAAUAAUUAGCCGUAGAGGUUAGUUGAUCAAUUUGGUUAUAGCUCAUGGUGCAGACCAAGAACAAACGAUUGUUUAUGAAAGGUUUGAUUGCAGGUAUACCUAAAUCAAUGUCUUUUAUCUAAUUGGUUGGAUAACUACUUUUCAGGUGUCGGCUGAUUACCACAAUAACAUGAUUUUUUUUAUUCGUGCUUUGCGAUUACUAUUUUUUUCACUCUGAAAAAAAUAAAGUGUGUUUGUUGCAUGUCUGGUAAGAAAGUCAAUACAUUUUGGUUGCUCCAUUGGCAUGGUUACUUUUACAUCAUUUACUAAGUUGAAAGCAGUUGAGAUAUAUGCCUUAAUAUAUACUGUUUUGUUGCGUGUUACUAUUCCUUGAGGGCGCUCCAAGAUGAUCCUUGUUUCAUAUGCAGACAACAAUUUCUGUAACGUGAUCAUAUUUACUGAUUGGCGUAGCUGUACUUUUGGGUGGCAGUGUUCAUAGCUUAGAGGCAGUGUUUUAGCAUGUCUUUUUUUCUGUAUCCUGUUGGUGCCUUUGGAAACUAAGAAUUUCUUUUUUUAGGAUUCUUGCUGGAGGAGAUGAACGUUUAUGGUGAGUUUUUUUCACUGUAUGCCUCGCUUCAGAUCAGGUUUACCUCUGUUUAGUGCAAUUAUGGUUGUUGAACAAUUGAAGAUGUCCUAAAUGCACAUAACAUUGCUAAACCUGUAGGCUGAUGCUUUUGUUAUUAUAGAGGAGUUGUUGAAGGCCAAAGUUACCUUGUGAGAGUGCCAUAGUUACAAGAAAAGAUUGCCUGAAAGGUCUUUAUUGUUUAUUCUGCAACGUAAAAAGUGUGAAAUAUGGAACAUAUCACAUUAACUCGGUUAGAGGGCCCGCUGAGGCUAGCGCGAGGUCUGCUAUGGCAUCGAUGAUGUGGGUGUCAUGACUGAGGACUGCUCACGAUUCUCCGCUCACAAACCGUGUGGCAGAGUAAAUACUCCAGUCCAUGACAAUUAGACCUUCCUCCCUCUCAGCUAUGGUAUUGCAGCAAUCUCCUUCCACCUUCAUUUGUUGGGUUGGAGCGCUAAAAGACAUUCUAAUUUUCUAGCUAUAUUUUGGAAUGUUAGACUGGCCAAAUAUUUUUGUAUAUGGGAGAGGAUAUGGUCGCAGUGGCGUGAGCUUUUUCAUUACUUGAUUUGUUUAUGCAAACCGAAUUUUUCUGUUAAACUGAAGAGGAGGAUCAUCUGCUUUUUGAUACAUAUUUGUUACCUUCACUAUGCUCAUGGUGCUUCCAUGCUCCUCGAUUAAACUAUUUCUUAAUAAGCUUCUCCAUCAAACAUGUUCGGGUGCAAGCUGCCAUGUUUCUUAGCUGUAAAAAAGUUUAGCCAUCGUCUGAAGAAUUUUUUCCUACCUUGUUGCUAGGCCUGACCAGUAUUCAGGUACCCUAGCCUUUUUUUCAUUGGCAAGAAACCUUGGCAGGUGCCAUGAGGUACAAAAGCUGGAGAGAUAGUUCCGAGUCUCCUAGAGGGCUUGGAGGGUUUAGGGUGUUUGAAAUGAGGACCCGAUAAAUUCUUUUCCAUGUUGUCCAGUUGAAACUUAUAUUCUUAUUUCUCUCGUCAACAAUGGAUAAUGUGUGUAUUCUGUACUUGUAUCAUUCCUUUUGGGAAAUAAUUGAAAGAUUGUCCAUUCACUUAUUUCUCACUUAAUCACAUCUGUCCAGGUGCCACAAAGUGCCCAGACAGCAGGAAGCACACAUAGAACCAUCGAUCCUCCUUUCCAUAGGAGAAAUAACUAACGGGCAAUCUUUUAAUGUCUGUAUAAAUUCAGAUGUGAUUAGCCAGGUCCAGAAGGUUUAGUCUACUUCUCACUUGAUCCCAUAUGUUCUUCUUUAGAUAUACUUUUUCUUUGACUUAAGAUGCGAUUAGCCUUCAUGAUGUAUGGAUGCAAAUUUGGAUAGAUGGAUUCUUGACGUGCACAUAAAUACGCUGAGAAGAUGCAACUAGAAUAAAGCUUCCGUCCAACUGCAGGUUAGUAUAUGCCCUAUAUGUUCUAUGGAAUUCCGCUUUCUCAUUGCAACAGCCAGAAGUGCAAAAUCUACUGAAGUUUGAAUGUUAAUCCAGCUUAUUACUUGGGGCCUCUGAUAUAUGCAUCAAAAUCAUAAAUUUUUAUUAUUGCAAAUUGUUGGUGACUACUGAUCAUCCUUAUUGUUUUUUAUUCAUACAGUUCACGGGGCAAUGAGUAUGAGAUCCGUUCGUGGGUGUCAGCCAAUGUUAGUGGUUCUGCAACUAUUUUUCAUCUGAAAGAUAUACUUUUGCAGCAUCCUAUAUGAUAUGUAUAUGCUUGGUUCAGUACUAUUCAUAGUUGUGUUACUGUGUCUACGUGCUUCCUUCAUAUAUUUUGGCUCACCUCGGCUUCCUCAUGUGUCGGCGGCGGCGCAGCAGAGGCAGACGAGCUGUCGAGGUGCGUGUAUGACCUGUAUGAUUAGUGAUCCAGUGUUCAGUGCCAUGCAAUUACCUUGAGCUUGAGUAAAUGUACACUGUUCAGUUCAUCUAUCGGAAGAUCUUGCAUUUAGUUUUCUAUAGCCAUAAUCGGUUGUUAGUCGCAAGCUUCUAAUGUUUUACAUCUUGUUUGCUACCCAAUUGUGUUGCAUGAUAGCAUCCACAUUCACACGUAGUUUAUGCCCAGUAAAGCAUUUUCGCCCCUGGUUUCUUCAGCUUGCAAGAAAGGUUGUAGAUUCCGGGUUACCGUUUGUUCUGCUUCUUAAAAGGCGAGACACAACAUUUUAUCUAUGAGCUUAUUUCUCAUAUUUUAGAUCACAAAGGAGGACUAGCAAUCGAGCAUUAUGCAGCAAGCUUAAGCUUGGAUCUGUUCUUUGUAGUUCAUGAAGACACAUUGAAGGGAAACUAGAGAUCCAACAUCGACAACAAGCAUAAUCUUGGUUCGAUUCACAAUUUCAUGCAGACACAAUGGAAAGAAAUUAGAUUUUGAUUCGUUUCACGGGAUCAACAGAUCACCAUAUGGUAUAUUGCUUUUCUUCAGGAAGUAUAUUUUAGUUUAUCUAGGGGCUUUCCAUGUAAAUCUCUACCUGUUUUUUGGCAGUAAUUUCUAAAUCUUGGUGGGUCUAUUCAUACUUCAGAUUGUUUUUUUUCAUAGUGAUCAAUAGGACAACAAAUGGAAUACCUUUCCAUAUCGCGUGCUACAGUAAAAUUGUGUGAUGCCAUUGGCAACAGCUCGGUGUGAUAAUUUGAAAUGCAAGUAGUGUCCCUCUUUGUAUGUGUGUGUGCUUCUGUGUCUUUUCUACUCUAUUUUCAGUCUAUGGAAUUGUUAUAUUAGCCAUGUAGUUUACUUUAAUUUCCAUUUAUAUCUUGAUGCAUAAAAAUAGCAGUACUUUGCUAAUAAGCUUUUCCGUGAUACAUGACUAUUUUGUUAUUAUUGAUGUGCAUCCUAUAUUUACUUUGAGAACGGUUUAGCUCAAAGAGAAUAAAUUUCUUCAUAAUCAUCUUAUGUUGUCAAACACCUCUUGUGGUAGCUUUUGUUUGCCUAAUUUUCUAUGUAGUACUCUGCCUUAUAAAAGCAGUCCAAAUAAAUUAUUGUAAAUAACCCUAAUGCCUUGUUUUAUCAUGAACUGCAUUUAAACCAUUCUUCUUGCUUAGCUUAAUGAUUUUAGCCUAUCAUGCUGCCGUUGACUGGAAUGUAGACCAUUAUGUAUAGAAAUGCAUGCUACCCACUUAUCUACUUGCAUGGUAUUCAAAUCCACUGAAUAUUCAUUAUGUUUCAAGAUGCCAUCUAUGUAUCAAACUUUGGAUCAUGGUUAAUUAAACGUCUAAUGGUUCUAAUACUUGAACAACUUUGGGUUUUUAAGCCAGGGGCGCAAGAGCCUUCACUCCAAGUUUGAGUUCUUUGAUUACUGACAACAAUGAUUGAUGUUGCUGGUAUCUGAGUUACACAACUUCUUUUAGUCCAUGUAAGUUUGGAUAGAGCUGUAUCUGUUGCUAAUUAAUAUUUGAGCAUGUUGCCAUCCAAAUUUUGAAAUGAUCAAACACAAUCUUUUAUUUGUCAUGUGACAUCAUCAAGUACUUUGAGCUAUAGUUGCAGUGAUUUUACAUUUACGACAGUGGUAGAAUGGAAAUUACUCCUCAACCAAGGCAUUUUACCUACCCCCCUCUACAUACCGUCGAUGUUUGUGAUGGUCUUCUGCUAUCAUCGGAGCAAGGACUGUAUGGGAAAGGAACUCUAGGAUUACAACCUUUUAUUAGGUUUGCUUUUGGUAAUUGCCUAAGUGAUUUAUCUUUGUAAGUCUAUUCGUACAAAAAAAUGACUUUGCUUUAGCUGUUAAGAUAUUUGUUAACGUAGUUCUAAUUUCCUAAAAUAAAAUUGUUUGUUGUUGCUACAGAAGGCGCAAUUAUUUGGAGUGCAAGGAAGGUGAGUUGUCUCAUGAUAAGGACAUACUUUUGUGUGAUGUGAGAUCUUUGACAUGUUUCUAGCAUUUACAAUUAUUCCGCCUGGGUAGUGAGUUUGUUCAGAUUGAAUAUUGCUGAAUCAAAUGGUCCAUUUGUCCACACCAUCUUUACAUAGUCAGGAAGCACCGUAUUUGCACUUUGUUAGUGUUCCUUAUUUAACCCAUUUGAACUUCAAGAUGCAUGAACGUUUAUAAAGUGCACAACCACACACGAACAUGAUAGCAAGAUAAUUGUCCUAUUGCAGUGCCUUGGUCGUAUGGCAUAGGCAUGCUAUUAUACGUAAUAAGACUACUACUUGCUAUGCUCAAAUCCUUUUCAUUUCAGGUCCUCCUGUUGUAGUCAUGUGAAAUGACGACUUUGAUGGCUAUACACUAGGUAUUCUCAAGAAACUUUGCUAUCCCUACAUUAUAAUAGUCAAAUAGAGUUUAUAUCCAUAGUUGUUUCUCGAUUAUUCACCCUUCUGUUGGAUUAAAGUUUUUUCUAUUGUUUUCAAGUGAUCCUUACUUGAUGUACCUUUGGUAUGCUGAUAUCUGAUAACUUGAUGUAGCUUUGGUAUGCAGAUAUUUGAUAGCAAAGUAAUUCAGAAUGCCUUCUUCAUUUCAGUCUUGAUUAACAUGUGCAGUUCUUUUUUCUUACUAGAGAUGUAUAUAAUAGUGUUAUGCAUUUUUUCUGCUAUGUAAAUAACAUUUUGUGCCCAAUAUCAUAGUUCAGCUGAUGAUUUGCUAUCUAUAUUAUCUCUGGCCCUCUUGUGACGAGAAAAAAAAUUGUGAAUUGCUCUUGCCUUUUUUGGGAAAACCAAAUCUACACCGUGCUGAUAUGCUUCACUAUGAGCAUGCAUAUCAACAUGGCGUAGAUUUUAUUUCUGAAAUAAGGCAAGAGCAAUUGUGUUUGAAUGCUCGGCACACUCCCGCUUUUUGCGCCAUGGGCGCAACGGGUCAUCUAGUUUGAACUAAAACCACGACGAGUAAUUUGGAACGGAGGGAGAACUAUCUUGUAAGCCACUCAAGAGCUCCUCUGCCUUCUGUUUGAACAUGAGCAAGAAAAGCAAGUCUGAAUUGGACCAAAAUUUGUGAUGUAGUACAAGCUUUCCGCCCUGCAAACCAUCAGAAUGCUACAAGUGAUCAUACAAGCUAAGCUAGCUUCAAUUCCUGAAUGGACAUUGUUUCACGACAAACCGAGUAAGCAGCAGUUGAAGACAGAGGAGCGACCGUCGACCAGUUCAACAAUGAACGGCAGCACAACACCUGCACACUCAAUACAAACAUGUCAGGCAAUUUGCACUGGUCUUCCUGCAUGCACACUGCAUAAACUGGUUUCCCAUGCAUAUCAUAUAGAUGAACUAAUGAUGUUUUCUUUUCCAUCCAGCAGUUGCCAGCAGAUCAUACGCACGAAUUCCUACCACUAUUCAAAAUGGCACAAAUAUCAAUUUCAGGUUCCCCCACUGUUUUAUACCUUAACAAAAAUGUUCUUCUUGGCUGAAUUCGAACUAAGAAAGAAAUAAAAUCGCAUUCCAGUUAACAACAGGUACAAUCUGUUUGUGCUUGCAUUUGGGCUGUUGCCAAAAAAUAAAGGUGCUUAUAUAAAUAUUCAGAACCAUACUGAAGUAAAAAUGAGCUUGCGCGACUUCAAAUUUAAAACAGCACCACCCCCAUUUACUCCCAUUCACUACCCCAGAAGUUUAUGUGGUAUCUGCAUAGCAUCCUGUAACAGCAUAUCACUAAAAUUCCUUAUGAUGAAAUAAACAUACCCGAAUCGGUUAUAUGCUUUCCUGUAGUUAAGGUCAACUUCAAUUGACUUCCAACAGUCUUGCAAUAUACUUAUUUCACAUAUUUAAAGGGUUUGUACACUUGCUCAAAGUACCAUAUAUGUCAAUGAAAGAGUAGCACAUUGCUGUCGUGCAAAUCUGCAACCCGCAUUGCUCUGACUACCAAAUUAGCAACCAGUUACAAAUCUGCAACCCCCACAGUCAGAUGGGGGUUUGUCUACUUCAUGGUUAAUCUAGUAUCUAUUGUUCGGCUAAGUUUCAGGAUACAGCGUCGGCUUCAAGUUCGCGAUUGCAGUGACACAUGCCACAACACAUAGCUACCAACAGUAAGUACUUUCAGCUUCUGUACAGACUUAGCACUUUCAACUUUUGUACAGACCUAAUGAAGAAAUCCUCAUACAUGAGCAGGUUAUGG